rnacentral:lncRNA from 1 species
GGGAAACAGAUUGAUGCUUUGAAAUUAAAUUAGGCAAGCUGUUAAUGAAGACUAAUUGCUUUGCAUAAUUUGAAAUAUGUAGAGGGUUCCGUUGAUCUGUGCAAGCUAUACUUGUAUUAGCAUCAGGGCUGAAGAAAGACUUCUCCAAACCGUUUUCCAUCCUCCUUAUGCAUCCUUCCAAAAUCCUUUCAAUAACUCAGAAAGUUAGAGCAACCCAGGAAUAUAUGUCAUUGCUCUUUCACUCAGCUCUGUUAUAUAUCUUAGCUGCACUUUCAUAUUUUGCUCACAAAGGAACAAACUGCACUCUCCACUCAGUGCAACAUUCUCAUUUCACUGACAGAUCCCCUUCUGAUGCCUUGCUGGAGAAAAUCUUGUUACACCAUGAGAGCCAAGAGUCAGAGUUUUCCCUGAGCCACGCUCUUCCUGAAAUGUAAAAUCAGAGUGAACUGUCUGAAGUUAAUACUACAAGUACACAAACAUCCAAAUUGCCUAAUCUUACCUGAAUCUGAACUAACACUUCCAUUGUCACCUUUGGGUUAUCUCACUUGAGACAGAUCUAAUUGUUGUAAGUAUCUCCAUGCAUACUCAGCUACUUUUGUGUUUAGAGGUCAGUUUAGAGUGUACAGCACAAUUUACUUUAAAUUUUGAGCAUAGGUGGUUCAUUAAGGGAUGUUCUGUGUAGUUAUGAGUAACCACAGGUACCUAUUAUUCUAUACUCAAAUGCAUAUUAGUAUAGACACAUAACUGUGUUUGGUUGUUGUUUUUUUUUUUUAACCAGUAUUUCAUAAAAGGAUGUAUCAUAUUAUAUUAAAAUGAUUGACAAUACAAAUG